CAAAUUUAGCGACGUAUUUUCGUUUACAACUCAUGUGACAUUGAUACAGUAGAGGAUUGGACUUCGAUGAGUACAGUAACAAAUAGCCAUUGAAGUGCCAAAGAAGGAAAGAAUACCAGCAUUUCUGAAAGACACAAAAUCUAGAACUAAAAUCGCCCAAGAUGAACAAGCCAAAGCAAGACAAAUGGGACGAUAAGAUCAGAAAGAAACCACCGUCUAUUCCACCACCCAAAGAUGAUGGCGGAAACCAAUGGACGUGCCAACUUUGCGGAAAGGUGUGUUCAGCUGAAAUUGCACUUCGGAGUCACUACAAGCACAAGCACGGAGUCGAGUGGUAAAGAGAGAAUCUAAAACUUGGCGAAGAUCUGAGGUUUUUUCUGCGGCUUCAGAGUGAGCCUGGCAUGACUACCACAUCCGCUUCCCUGACUGACUUGCAGACAAGCUAAUUAUUUCCUCUUUAAAAAGUUAUCAAUUCAAAAGUAGAUUCUUCUCCGGAUAAUUUGAAUAAAAUAUAAUCCUUAGAUUUUUUGCUCGGAUAAUUGUUCUGCAUGAUUUUUGAUAGCAAGAUGUCGCCGAUAUGAUCAGAACUUUUCUUAACAGCUCUAUCUUACUUUAUAAUAAUUAUCUUACAAUUUCAUCUUGAAAUCAUGAUCAGUUUUUUUGGAUGAAGCUAAGAUAAAUUACACUGACAAGAAGUGUUAAUUAAACAGAAAAAUAUAUUCAGAACAAAGUUAGCAGCCUCACAUGUUUAUCAAAGCAAGUACGGUUAAUACUAGUAAAAGCAGGCGGACUUCCGCCAGAAAUGGCACCUAGGAAAGCUAGUUGUUUACGGCUUACAGGGUUCUCAACAACUCUAUGUGACUACAGGCGCAUGGUCCCAGUCAAACGACCCCUCAUAGUAAUAAUAACAACAUUGAGAUAUUUCCAUAUUAUUUUAAACCCUGACAUCUUGCAUUUUCAUCUUCAGCUGUGUUUCAGUUUAAAAAUGAUAAUAUAAUGAAGUAGCCAUUUUCAAAAUUACAAAAACAUGAAAUAAAACAUGAUUCAGACUCUGGAAGAAGAAUGUGGGAAAAGUGUUUGAAAGUGAAGUACUUUUUGUAAAUAAAUGUUUUUAGUUUUUAGGGCAUAUUUGGUUUCUCAUGGUCCAUUUGAGAACCCGUGACUCACUCUUUCUAAUGGCAGAGCACUGCAAAUUCUGUCGCUUAGAGAGGUUAUUCGUACCGGUAUGUAUUUGCAGUAUUCCUGAAAAGGAAAGUACAUAGGCCUACCGGUA